CUUGCAGCCCUACUCAGGAGUUAAAUAUACUCUCUGGUUUUGAGAUUUUUACCUAGAUCUUCUGUGCCAAAAAACUAAAAUAUAUAUAUAUGUUUUCAGUAAAAAUCCCAAAUACACUGUAUUGUCACGAACACAACAUGCAAGUAUCCUGGCCUGUUAUGACAUCAUUUAUUAGAAAAUUAGAGAUUAAGGAUCGGAUUGUCAGAGCCAUGCUGUAGAAUAGGCUCCUGAUUAUAAUUAACAGCUUCACGCUCAGAAUGAGGGUCUGGGUGAAAAUAGCUGUGUGCAAUGAAUUAUACCCAAAAGGGGAUCGAACGAUGAAAGACAACUCAGUCAAAAACAAGCAGGUACGCGG